AUGUGGGAAUUUCGCGUCUGGCCCACCUGCUGCUCUGCACACGAUCCCCGCCUUCCCCAGGCAGGAAGCAGGGCUGCUGUGAGCUAGAAACUGGGCUUCUUGCCUGGUGGCAACCCGGAGGCUGCAGGGAGGGCCUGGGGCACCUGGGCUGAGCUGUGGGAGGGGACUCAGGGCCACUAGACCCGGGUACCAGUGCCUGGGCCACUGGUUCUGGGGAGCGCCAAAUGUGCCGAGGGGUUCUGAGUCAGGCUGUAUGGGGGUCUUACGGCCCCUCCCUGGAGCCCCACCCCACCUGGAGUCUGGGAGAUGGGCAACAGGUGCCUGGUCACUGUGGUGUUUGCCAACUCCUGGGCUCCUUCCCCGGGAUGCCGCUUGGGGCCUGGGAGAGGUGGAGUGGGUGGGCAGUCUUUCCUGCUGCAGGUUCGGGACUGGGAGAGGCGAUGUGGGUGGGCCUGACACAGGGUCUCUCCGGCUGCAGGUUCAGGACUGGGAGGGGCGGCGUGGGUGGGCCUUCCUCCUGACCCAGGUGUCUCCCGCUGCAGGUUCGGGACUGGGAGAGGCGAUGUGGGUGGGCCUCCCUCCUGACCCAGGUGUCUCCCGCUGCAGGUUCGGGACUGGGAGAGGCGGCGUGGGUGGGCCUCCCUCCUGACCCGGGUCUCUCCCGCUGCAGGUUCGGGACUGGGAGAAGUGGCAUGGGUGGACCUCCCCCCUGACACCGCGUCUCUCCCGCAGGUUUGGGAGGCGCUUUGAGUCCCCGCUGCUGUGGCAGAGCGCCAUCAUGAUCCUGACCAUGCUGCUGAUGCUGAAGCUGUGCACCGAGGUCCGUGUGGCCAACGAGCUCAACGCCAGGCGCCGCUCCUUUGCAGCUGCAGAUAGCAAGGAUGAAGAAGUCAAGGUUGCCCCCAGGCGGUCCUUCCUGGUGCUUUGAAUAUGUUAUUCCACUGCCCUCUGGACUCCAUUGUUUCUGAUGAGAAGUCAGCUGUUAAUCUUAUUGGGGUUUCCUUACUUCGACCCCCACCACUUCUGGCAGUGGAGCAGCUUCUCGGACUACGUGCAGUGCGUCCUGGCCUUCACGGGUGUGGCGGGCUACAUCACCUACCUGUCCAUUGACUCCGCCCUGUUUGUGGAGACCCUGGGCUUCCUGGCCGUGCUGACCGAAGCCAUGCUGGGUGUGCCGCAGCUUUACCGCAACCACCGCCACCAGUCCACGGAGGGCAUGAGCAUCAAGAUGGUGCUCAUGUGGACCAGUGGUGACGCCUUCAAGACGGCCUACUUCCUGCUGAAGGGCGCCCCUCUGCAGUUCUCCGUGUGCGGCCUGCUGCAGGUGCUGGUGGACCUGGCCAUCCUGGGGCAGGCCUAUGCCUUCGCCCGCCACCCCCAGAAGCCGGCGCCCCACGCCGUGCACCCCGCUGGCACCAAGGCCCUCUGACAGUGGGGAGGAUGAGGAUGUGGGACCGCCAGCCGCGGGCACUGGUGGGUUCUGACCUCCCCGCGGGGAGAGUGGGUGCUGUGGUCCCUGCAGGUGUGGCGGAGACGGGGUACGGGCAUUGGGGUCUCCAUCAGCCUCUGUGGGGUGUCUCAGGGUGGGCGGUGGGGCUGGGACGCUGUUUGUGCUCAGCGGGGACAGCCAGGGUCGAUUUGGCCCCGAGGGUUUUGGAUGUUUUUAGGGUGACAUAAAAAGCAAGUGUUUUCCCCGUUUCCUCUUAUGAAACACCGUCUGAGCCCAAGGUACACAUUGGGCGGCCUGCAGGAACCUGCUCCAGGUGGACACACGGGCCAGCAGCCGCCAACCUUGAAGCUGGGGUGACCUCAGGAGACCCUUCGGUGUUUCCUGGGCCUUUGGAGCGGCUGCCAGGCCCGAACGCCUUGUGGAUCUGCUGUGUCCAGCCCGGCUGAGCAUCGCCAGGGCUAGCUCAUGCUGCUCUUGUCAGCCUCUGGUUCUCCUCGAGUCCUUGGGGACGUGGCAGAUGCCAGCGACCAUCAGACAACGUGGAGGCCCUCAUGGGCGAUGGCUGAGGGGGCCGAGCUGAGGCUGUGCACACGCAGUCCACACGUCACUCUUGGGCUCUGCUGGCGGAGAUCCCCUUCUGGGUGCAGACUGCACCUCCGGAUGCAGUUUUGAUGUCCAUCUUCCAGGACGGUCUCGGGUCCAGGGAGUGGAGGGGGCUGCCCCUGCCGUGCAGGUCCUGGCCGAUGGCGCCUUACCCUGCUGCCCUGGGCUUUUGGCCUGAAGCAAAUUCCUGAGUGGGGUACUGGGGCCUGCCGCAUCCUGUCCUGUCCACUGCCCACCCCCGUGUGCCGGCUCCCUCACUUCUGGCUGCAGUGGGAGCCGCCAGUCUGACCCUUGUCACCCCACGCUCUGCCCCCACCCCGUUUUCAGUUUAGCAAGAGAUCACACCACGUCAGCAGCCUUGCACUGACCGCAGCCGGCCCCCAGGCCUCAGAGUUCUGGAUGCUUCCGUGCGGCUCCAACAGGCAUUGUCUUCCCUUCCGCAGGCGGAGGGGCCGCUUCCCGCAGGCAUCUGAGCUCUGUGCCGGGGCCGUGGCCAUGGGAAGAUGUUUCACGCUGCCUCCUCCUCGAGUCUUCCUCGGAAACACUCUUGAAUGUCUGAGUGAGGGUCCUGCUUAGCUCUUUGGCCUGUGAGAUGCUUUGAAAAUUUUUAUUUUUUUAAGAUGAAGCAAGAUGUCUGUAGCGGUAAUUGCCUCACAUUAAACUGUCGCCGACUGCAGGUGCAGUGACUGCUGAAUGU
rnacentral:sRNA from 1 species